rnacentral:rRNA from 1 species
CACGUAGUUAGCCGUGACUUUCUGGUUGAAUACCGUCACUGCGUGAACAGUUACUCUCACGCACGUUCUUCUUCAACAACAGAGCUUUACGAGCCGAAACCCUUCUUCACUCACGCGGUGUCGCUCCAUCAGGCUUGCGCCCAUUGUGGAAGAUUCCCUACUGCUGCCUCCCGUAGGAGUAUGGGCCGUGUCUCAGUCCCAUUGUGGCCGAUCAGUCUCUCAACUCGGCUAUGCAUCACUGCCUUGGUAAGCCGUUACCUUACCAACUAGCUAAUGCACCGCAGGCCCAUCCAAGAGUGAUAGCCGAAACCAUCUUUAAAUUGAUGACCAUGUGGUCAUCAAUCUUAUGCGGUAUUAGCACUUGUUUCCAAAUGUUAUCCCCCGCUCUUGGCAGGUUGCCUACGUGUUACUCACCCGUCCGCCACUCACUGGUAAUCCAUCGUCAAAUCAGUGCAAGCACGUCAUAUCAGUUGGGCC